AAAGAUUUUCGACCUUUUGGCUAUGAUUUAGUAUCUAUUCUUAUUAGUUCAAUAUUUGAUACAUGGUCCAUUGAGUAAUAUGAUAUUAAUCAAAUUUCUUGUGGGGGAGGGCCAACCUCAGCAGCUUGCUGCUGGGGUCCUCAUGUGUCGCCCAUGCAUUGUACUUCUACAUAGGCUCAGUCAACCCUU